AGCAGCCAAUAUCAAUAUUUCAUAAACAAAUGAAAGACUGGAUAUGGAGGCGAGCGUCGAAGCGGCCCUGGAGGGGGAGAGGGGAUCAAUGGAAAGAUAGCUCCCUCCGCCAGUAUCUGCCAAUCCCGGCCCCUCGCAGGAUAAUGCCAUUACCCAUCAGCCCGAGUGAGCAUCGACCAGCCUGCUGCUCUUUGAGUGGACUAAUCUGAUAAAAAGCCUUAAAACAUUUGUUCACUGACACACCGGCUGCAGCUCCGAGCCCGGGGCUGAGCACUGACAUGACUCUGAGUUUAGUUCUGUGUUACUGAUGUGUCAGCGUUGCCUUGAUGCACCAGUAAAACCUUCUGAACCUGAUAAGGGUCGACGUGGUGUAGAUGUAGGUCAGUUAAUAAUUGCUCUUAACCAGGUGGACCUGUAAGGUGGAUUUUUGAGGUGGAGGUGGAGUUUGAUCUGCAGUCAGGACGUUCAUGUGCCUGGCUGCAGGAGGAACGUCUGGGGAAUCCGUCUGUCAGCAAAGCUUUUAACUGGAAAUCCAUCAGGUGGUAAACACGUGUCCUGGCCAUCUGCAGCGCUUCAGAAUUUCCCUUGUGUUUUCCAACUCGUCCCCCCCCCGAUGCCCUCGCUCUCUGCCUGCACCCUCGUCAAGGUAUAGUGCUAUUGAUGUUCUCACACAUCACCGAGCCGCUGUUUCCAGAAAACACUGUGUAUCUUCUGCCCUGCCAUGAGCCACCGGGGGGGUUUUCCUGUGAGCUGAGGAGACAUCUUGUGGUGAGGAGGAAGCGUUUGCCGUCAGACAAGGUCAAGAAGAUAAGAAGUGGUCAAUAUAGCUUCCUCGGACGAGGAAGUCAUUUACCAUUGAUCCAGACAAACAAGAGAGAGCCCGACCUCUGGGACUGGAUCUUGUCAUUAGGUUUAUUAUCAUCAGAGAGCAAAUAGUAAUGAAAAAUCAAAUAAAUGUAUGAAGAAUAUACUUUUUCCUCUUUUGUACUUUCGUAGAAUAUUAAUUUAUUACAAAGAAACAAAGCAACCUAAUUAUUUGAAUAUAUUCAGUAUGUUUAUAUGAAUCAGCACAAAUUAAUGAAAAUUAGAUUUUUAUUCAGAGCAUCUUUUUAUGAUGAAUAUAUUUAUGUUUUGGGGAUAUUGGUGGAAUCAAUCAUAUCUCCUGAAACUGUAAACAUGAGAGUCAACUCUAUCUAAUAAUUCCAGAAAUCUUUAUAAUGGCUCAUUUGAUCGGCUUCAAAAUUUGGCUUAUGUAUUGUGAAGGGCCCAAGGAAGUGCAGGGUUGAAUUUGGUGCGAUUUUGAAAAACGGUAAGUUUGAAUUACCAGGCGACCGUUUGGUACGACUCAACGUAAGAGAAAAACAACCAUGACACUUUUCACAGUUUCAGGAAAAAAAACUGCAACCAAAACAGGCAGGUGUAGAUCUCCACUAAUAGAUGCAAGCAUUAACAAAAUGAACAUAAACGACCCCUGAUUAUGAAUCAUGAGAGAGAUUCCCAGCACUUAGCUUUUCUAACAUGUCCGGUUCAGAUGCACCCAACACUUCCUGCCAGUCUCCCCUCAGCUGGCUGUCAUUAUCUCAAAUACUUCAGCCAUGUUUCCACCUGGGGAGCCCACACAGCCACAGACUACAAAGGCAAAGCGUCGCUACAGAUUCCAACACUUUCCAUCGACGCUGCAGCCAGAGCCUCUUAAACAGGCCGACGUCUCAGGCUCCAAAUGUCGGGACGCUGCAUGUGAGUGUUGUGCAAUUGUUUUUUUUCUUUGGCAGCAAAAAUUCAGCUCUUUAGAGGGAUUCUGUCUGGGAAACAAACACCCGGCACAACACUCGGAGGGAGCAAGUGAGGUCAUCCAGCUCAGGCCUUGACUCUGUGUAUGUGUGUGUGU